AUUAAUGUUAAUAUAUUAAAAACUGGUUAGAGUAAACAUACAUAUUAUGCUAUCAUGUACAUAUAUGCCUCUAUGAGACAUAAAUAUAUGUGUCAUGUUUCAACUUUCAUGAAUUUUUUUCCUCAACGAGUAACAUACUAGUGAUAAUAACAAAAUUAUUUAAAAUAAUAACCAUUAUAUAUAACUUAUAAAUUAUCAUGAUAGAUUUGGUUAUAUAUUUUAACUUAAAUAUUUGACAUAUGGUAUAACUAUAAGUUCAUAAGUGCAUAUAUAAAUUCUUUGACAUGAAAAACAAGAAAUAUUGAUACAUGGGGGGCAAUUGGUGUCGAUUGCAGAUGGCUACAUCUUUCUAGAAUUCAUAUUUCUUUGUAGCAAAUAGUCAUUAUAAUAACAAGUAUUAAUAUCCUCUCCAGGUUAGCAAUACUAACCAUUAUAGAUCUCUGUUUAUUUAUAUUGUCCCUUCAUACAUAUUAAUGUACAUACACAUCCUUUCUUUCUCGUUAUUCCAAUCCCUCCUGGACAUAGAUACAACAAAUAUGAUUUGUUCCGUAGAAUCACAAACUCUUUUGUACAGGUUGCAACUUUUACCAGAUCAGGUAUGAUUUCCCACAAAAAAUGAACCCUGCUUUUUUAUAGUCCUUGUCAAUGCACUCAACUUAAUAGUUUUUCCCAUAGCGCCCCUUAAUUGGGCAGAGAAAAAGUAGAAUCCAUCACUAUGUUUUAUUAAACACUAUGUACGUAUCCAUGUAUGUUGUUGUGUAAACAUUUGCAUAUGUAUAUAACCAUACACACAGACAUAAUGUGUUAGUACACAUAAUGCAUGCACAUGGAUCUUAUUAGUUGUCUCCUAGCCUGCAGCAUCGCAUAAUAUGACUUCAAAUUAUUUUCAUUGCAUUUCAAUUAAUAGUAUACUUCAUUAUCAUUUUUCCCUUUUUCACAUUUUUAAUAAUCUGUAUAUUGGGUUGUUCAUUUUCUAGAACCAGGCUGAGUAUUGAUGUUAAUGUUCUCUAGACAUUGUCAUUUCAGUUGCUUAGAUCAGUAAAACUUGAUAAAUAAAUGUUUGAUGCAAAUCCAACAAUUAGAUUGUUUAGUGGUCUAAAUUUAGGAGAUUUCAUAGACCUACAUCUGUAAAGGCCAUAACUUACAUAGAAGAUUAUCUCCAUAAGAUGUAGCAAGCACUAUCCAAACUAAACAAACCUGUGCAUGGGUAAAACAUAAUGCUCGAAUCAGUGGUCGAAUGCCUUUUCUAAAAAAUCAUUCUUUGUCUGAGAAUGGCAUUACUUCUAUCCAAAUUUACUAUAGACUUACAUGUAUAUGUUUAUGUAUGUAUUAGAAUUUGUAGGUGCCUCGAAGAAGCCAAUCAAAGUACUAAUUACUAAAGGUAAUAAAUCAGGCCAUGAUGAUGUUCAAAAGAGUUGUCAGCAGUUCAUGACAUCUGGUAUUUAUUAUAUCUUCUUUUGUAGAGGGCUUGUGUGUUCUGCUUAGCAGUAGGUAGCACGACAACUAGCAAUGUAUGGAUGAAUUGAAGGAAAUAAAGAAGGCAGACAAUCUUAUAGAAACUCUGCAUCUUGAAACUACCAUGGUUUAGAAAGAAGCUGGAUGCAUCCUUUAUGUUGGUGUCUUCUUAUCACCAAGCAGUAAUGUGAAGCAAGGUCAUUUGUUGACUAAGAACGGUUGAACACAAAUUAGUGAAGAGUUCAUUGCACUAGAGAUGGAGGAUGGAAAGGUGGUAGAUUUCAAUAUGGCUUUGAUACUAUUUCCCCCCUUACAAUCUUGUACGGAACAAACAAUGUAUGUGGAUACUAUUGUAAUUCAAGAAUUUAUUU
rnacentral:lncRNA from 7 species